AUGCCGCGCGACCUGUCAAGGUCGCCGCCGCGCCGGCGCCGGCCGUCGCCAUCCCCGCUUCGCCGCGGACCGGGCUACAGGGAGCGCGUGCCCAGCCGCAGCAGGUCCCCUUAUCGCCCCUCCUAUAGAAGGAAGAGCCCUUCACCUUCCUCUCCCAGGAGGCGCAGGAGUCCAUCCCCAUCAAAAAGCCAUUACAAAAGAAAGAGAAGUCCGAGUGUCACUGGUUCUCCAGUUGCCAAAGCAAGUCCCCAUCUUGGAUCUACAGAGAAUAAGAAUGCCGUUGAUAAGCAAAGGCUAGAAGAAGAAAAGAAAAGGCGUCAAAAAGAAGUUGAACUAAGGCUAUUAGAGGAGGAAACUACAAAAAGAGUUGAGCAAGCUAUUAGGAAACAAGUUGAGGAUAGUUUGAAUUCUGAGGAAAUCAAACAUGAAAUACAGCGUCGAAUUGAUGAAGGGCGGAAAAGGAUACAUGAGGAGGUUGCUGCCCAAAUUGACAAAGAGAAGGUGUCUGCCUUGGUUGAAGCCCAGCAGAGAGCGGAACGUGAGAAGAAAGAGCGAGAAGAGCUAGAGAAGAAGCUCGAAGAGGAGCGAAAGAAAGCAGAGGAGGCUCAGAUGAUGGUAGCCAUGGAGCAGCAGCAGAAAGAGCUGGAGCGGUACCAGGAGCUGGAGAGGCUUCAGAAGGAGAGGGAGGAAGCCAUGAAGCAGAAGCAAAUGGAGGAGCAGCAGCAGAAGCAGAACCAGAUUAAGCUGCUGGGCAAGAACAAGUCGCGACCAAAGCUGUCGUUCUCUCUUGGGAUGAAGUAG
rnacentral:rRNA from 1 species